rnacentral:lncRNA from 1 species
CGACGAUUGAAAACGUUUCGCGAUCGAGUGUCACCGUCGCGGAUGGCAACGAAAAUCGGGUAGAAGGCGUCGGUGAUUGUCUUAUCAAGUGCGUUAAUGACAGUGGAGAGACAAUCGAACUUACACUACGGGGUGUACUGUAUGUGCCCACACGGAGAAAACGAAGUACUCAAAAAUGAGUUUUUUUUAACUCAAAAUUAAGUUAAGACAGUGGAACUCAAGGAAUGGGUGAUUUCCAUUCUGUCAAAUACGUACAUUUAACCCAACUUUUGAGUAGUUCGACUAAAACCCAAAUUUGAGUAAAAAAAUACUUGUUCAUUUUAUUGCAUUUAUACCAUACAAGUUUAAUACUUGAACUUGCGUACUUUCUGGCAAAACUAGUUACGGAAUCACUCGAAAUGUCACUUAACGUAUUUAUAAUUGCUACGAAAACGCAGUAUAUAUAGACUGGAUAUUCAUUUAAUCACAUAAAAUAAGUUAAUCGAUCAUUGAAUUUGUCAAACACUCAGAAAACAAAUAGUUGAGUAAAAACAACUCAACGUGAGACAUUCAAGCUGCGAACUACCCGUUGAGUAGUUUAAACUCAGUUUUGGAUGAAAAAAUGCGACAGCCAUAUUGAAAAGUCAACAUUGCUCAUUCCAGAUUAGCCGACAUCGGCGUAAGACGUGAUCGUAAUUGUUAUUGUUUUUUAAUUAUAAAAAUCAAUAAAUUACGAUAGAUGUUUAUUUAAUACAUUUUUGAUAGCUAAUCCUGAAGUGGUUUACCGGAAUGCUGAUUUACUAGAGGAAUUCAGUUAUCGUUUAACUGUUUUUGGUGCACGAUUUCCGAUGUCCAGAAGUGACUUAAUGCCUUGCUCUCGAUGGCUAUAAUCCUCUCCGAACUGUUGUUUGCCGUUACCUUCACCCACCGUUCACGAUUCCCGGAACCGUUUCCGACGAACUAUUGCUGAAAGUGAGAGGCUGGUUGCUGAACAUAAUGCGUGUCAUUCGUUGCCUGCUUGCUGUACCUGCCAUUCCUAGCCACCAUGUGCCACCGUCGGAGUCGAGCUUUCCAUUGGCGUUCUCAGUACAUUGCUGCCGGUCGAUAAGUUUUAUGCUGCAGGUGUACUCACCCGAUCCAAAUUGUUUCCUGUGCUGAUGUCGUCAUUCCUGCCCUGCCACCCACGCGGUUGGGUUUUCAAGCAAUUUUUUACUAUUUUAUUUUUUAUGAAUUGAAAUAAAACAAAAUAAAUGUUUGUAUCAUU